rnacentral:rRNA from 1 species
AUUGAACGCUGGCGGAAUGCUUUACACAUGCAAGUCGAACGGCAGCACGGGGGCAGCCCUGGUGGCGAGUGGCGAACGGGUGAGUAAUACAUCGGAACGUGCCCGGUCGUGGGGGAUAACGUAGCGAAAGUUACGCUAAUACCGCAUACGAUCUGAGGAUGAAAGCGGGGGACCUUCGGGCCUCGCGCGAUCGGAGCGGCCGAUGUCAGAUUAGGUAGUUGGUGGGGUAAAGGCCUACCAAGCCGACGAUCUGUAGCUGGUCUGAGAGGACGACCAGCCACACUGUGACUGAGACACGGCCCAGACUCCUACGGGAGGCAGCAGUGGGGAAUUUUGGACAAAGGGCGCAAGGCUGAUCUAGCCAUUCCGCGUGCAGGACGAAGGCCUUCGGGUUGUAAACUGCUUUUGUACGGAACGAAAAGGCUCUGGCUAAUACCUGGGGCUCAUGACGGUACCGUAAGAAUAAGCACCGGCUAACUACGUG